rfam:Pachysolen tannophilus NRRL Y-2460 unplaced genomic scaffold PACTA_scaffold_6, whole genome shotgun sequence.
GGGCGUGUGGCGCAGUGGUUAGCGCGUUUUCUUCAGGUGAAAAAGACCCCAGUUCGAACCCGGGCACGUCCA